rnacentral:rRNA from 1 species
AAACCGGGGCUAAUACCGGAUGCUUGUUUGAACCGCAUGGUUCAAACAUAAAAGGUGGCUUCGGCUACCACUUACAGAUGGACCCGCGGCGCAUUAGCUAGUUGGUGAGGUAAUGGCUCACCAAGGCAACGAUGCGUAGCCGACCUGAGAGGGUGAUCGGCCACACUGGGACUGAGACACGGCCCAGACUCCUACGGGAGGCAGCAGUAGGGAAUCUUCCGCAAUGGACGAAAGUCUGACGGAGCAACGCCGCGUGAGUGAUGAAGGUUUUCGGAUCGUAAAGCUCUGUUGUUAGGGAAAGAACAAGUGCCGGUUCAAAUAGGGCCGGCACCUUGGACGGUACCUAACCAGAAAGCCACGGCUAACUACGUGCCAGCAGCCGCGGUAAUACGUAGGUGGCAAGCGUUGUCCGGAAUUAUUGGGCGUAAAGGGCUCGCAGGCGGUUUCUUAAGUCUGAUGUGAAAGCCCCCGGCUCAACCGGGGAGGGUCAUUGGAAACUGGGGAACUUGAGUGCAGAAGAGGAGAGUGGAAUUCCACGUGUAGCGGUGAAAUGCGUAGAGAUGUGGAGGAACACCAGUGGCGAAGGCGACUCUCUGGUCUGUAACUGACGCUGAGGAGCGAAAGCGUGGGGAGCGAACAGGAUUAGAUACCCUGGUAGUCCACGCCGUAAACGAUGAGUGCUAAGUGUUAGGGGGUUUCCGCCCCUUAGUGCUGCAGCUAACGCAUUAAGCACUCCGCCUGGGGAGUACGGUCGCAAGACUGAAACUCAAAGGAAUUGACGGGGGCCCGCACAAGCGGUGGAGCAUGUGGUUUAAUUCGAAGCAACGCGAAGAACCUUACCAGGUCUUGACAUCCUCUGACACCCCUAGAGAUAGGGCUUCCCCUUCGGGGGCAGAGUGACAGGUGGUGCAUGGUUGUCGUCAGCUCGUGUCGUGAGAUGUUGGGUUAAGUCCCCGCAACGAGCGCAACCCUUGAUCUUAGUUGCCAGCAUUCAGUUGGGCACUCUAAGGUGACUGCCGGUGACAAACCGGAGGAAGGUGGGGAUGACGUCAAAUCAUCAUGCCCCUUAUG